rnacentral:rRNA from 1 species
AUUGAACGCUGGCGGCAGGCCUAACACAUGCAAGUCGAGCGGAGCGGCGGACGGGUGAGUAAUGCCUAGGAAUCUGCCCGGUAGUGGGGGAUAACGUACGGAAAGGGGCGCUAAUACCGCAUACUAUCAGAUGAGCCUAGGUCGUAUUAGCUGGUUGGUGGGGCAAAGGCUUACCAAGGCGACGAUCCGUAGCUGGUCUGAGAGGAGGAUCGGUCACACUGGAACUGAGACACGGUCCAGACUCCUACGGGAGGCAGCAGUGGGGAAUAUUGGACAAUGGGCGAAAGCCUGAUCCAGCCAUGCCGCGUGUGUGAAGAAGGUCUUCGGAUUGUAAAACACUGUAAGUAGGGAGGCGUUACCAACAGAAUAAGCACCGGCUAACUUCGUGCCAGCAGCCGCGGUAAUAC